UAGUUUUAUAUCUCUAACACAUCCCCGCACACAAAUACCUACUAGACUUGAAACACGAACAGGCAUAAGCCCACUUUGCUUUGUGUGGAAAUAUUUAAUCAAUAAAUGAGGGUUGCAGGGAUUCAAACUAUAGACCUUUUUGUUUAAGAGGCUCUAAUACCAUGUCAAGAGACCACUCAAUAUAAAAGCUUAAACUUGUAGGUGAAAGCCUAAAGAAUAAUUUUAUAUCUCUAA
rnacentral:misc_RNA from 1 species